AGAAAACAGUAUUUCUGCUCUCUCUUCUGCUGUUCUUCCUUGACAAGAUGUAUCAUUAAAAUAAACAUUAACAAUGAACAAAUAUCCAUUAACAGAAAGUCAAAAGACAUUCCUCUGGGUUAGUUGUACAUGUGUUGGCAUGUAUGUAGCUUACAGAUAUUGGAAGAAACGUAAACUCAAGACGAUAAAUGAAAGAUUCGGAGAAAUAUCUAAGCUUUUAAGUAAACCUCAAAAAAGAGUAGUCUUAUUGGGAUUAAAAGGUGCUGGAAAGACUUUGUUAGUGAAUCAAAUGACUGUUUCAAAUAACAAUGACUUUAGUUAUACCAUGCCACCACAGCCUACUAAAGGUUCUCUUAUUACCAGAUUAAAAAAUGAUUUAUGUUAUUAUAAUAUAUGGGAAGUUGGUGGCAUUGAUACAUUGGACGAUGUGAUAACAUAUUGGACUAUGUUUUCAUAUGAUGUUGAUCUCAUGGUAUUUGUAAUAGAUUCUAAUGAUACAGAUAAGUUAUCUGUCAUAGCCUCAUCACUUAAACAAUUUAUAAAUAAUCCACAACUGAGUAAAACACCAAUUUUAAUAGUUGCUAAUAAACAAGAUUGCCCCAAUGCCUUAAAGCCAGAACAAGUUGAACAAGCUUUAGAUUUAUUGAGUCUCUCACACAAGCACAAGAUAGAACUAAUUGGAUGCCAAACUGAACCAUUGCCUUGUCUGUCAGAAGGAGAGACUAAUUACAAGUGGUGCCAUAGUUCCGUAGUUCUGGUUAUGAAAAAGAUGUUUUCCAUGGCUAUAUCUUGAAAUAAUAUCUCAAAAGGCAGACAUGUGUAUGAGGUUAGGGGACACUCACCACGGAAUAGAAGACGUUGACGUUGCACGAAAAACUCGCGAUCCGAAUGAACCACAUUUCUGUGAAGUUUACAAAAUUCAAAAGGCUCAUGAGGACGAAGCGACGGGAAGACCA